rfam:Chlamydomonas reinhardtii strain CC-503 cw92 mt+ CHLREscaffold_27 genomic scaffold, whole genome shotgun sequence.
GCUCCUAUAGCUCAGCAGGUAGAGCGUGCGGCUGUUAGCCCGACCUUCCCGAGUACGCUCGGGUGUCAAUGAUACCGCAAGGUCUACGGUUCAAUCCCGUAUGGGAGCG